UAGGGAAUCUUCCGCAAUGGGCGAAAGCCUGACGGAGCAACGCCGCGUGAGUGAUGAAGGUCUUCGGAUCGUAAAACUCUGUUAUUAGGGAAGAACAAAUGUGUAAGUAACUAUGCACAUCUUGACGGUACUUAACCAGAAAGGGACGGCUAACUACGUGCCAGCAGCCGCGGUAAUACGUAGGUCCCGAGCGUUGUCCGGAUUUAUUGGGCGUAAAGCGAGCGCAGGCGGUUAGAUAAGUCUGAAGUUAAAGGCAGUGGCUCAACCAUUGUAGGCUUUGGAAACUGUUUAACUUGAGUGCAGAAGGGGAGAGUGGAAUUCCAUGUGUAGCGGUGAAAUGCGUAGAUAUAUGGAGGAACACCGGUGGCGAAAGCGGCUCUCUGGUCUGUAACUGACGCUGAGGCUCGAAAGCGUGGGGAGCGAACAGG
rnacentral:rRNA from 1 species